GGCGAUCAGAUACCGCCCUAGUUCUGACCGCAAACGAUGCCAACUAGCGAUCCGCCGGUGGCUCUAAGGCCCUGGUGGGGAGCUUCCCGGAAACGAAAGUCUUCCGGUUCCGGGGGAAGUAUGGUUGCAAAGCUGAAACUUAAAGGAAUUGACGGAAGGGCACCACCAGGAGUGGAGCCUGCGGCUUAAUUUGACUCAACACGGGAAAACUCACCCGGCCCGGACACCGUGAGGAUUGACAGAUUGAUAGCUUUUUCAUGAUUCGGUGGUUGGUGGUGCAUGGCCGUUCUUAGUUCGUGGAUCGAUUUGUCUGGUUUAUUCCGAUAACGAGCGAGACUCCAGCCUACUAACUAGUACGGGCAUUGCCUUUGUGCCCGGCACUUCUUAGAGGGAUUGGCUGCGUCUAGCGGCACGAAACGGAGCAAUAACAGGUCUGUGAUGCCCUUAGAUGUCCGGGGCUGCACGCGCGCUACACUGGCAAAAGCAGCGUGCUUGUCCUUCUCCGAAAGGAGCGGGUAAACCCUUGAAAAUUUGCCGUGAUUGGGAUCGGAAAUUGCAAUUAUUUUCCGUGAACGAGGAAUUCCUAGUAAGUGCGAGUCAUCAGCUCGCGUUGAUUACGUCCCUGCCCUUUGUA
rnacentral:rRNA from 1 species